rnacentral:misc_RNA from 1 species
GGAAGUAAAGUCGUAACAAGGUUUCCGUAGGUGAACCUGCGGAAGGAUCAUUAUUGAAAUAAACCUGAUGGGUUGUUGCUGGUUCUCUAGGGAGCAUGUGCACGCCUUGUCAUCUUUAUAUCUCCACCUGUGCACUUUUUGUAGGCCUUUCAGGCCUAUGUUGCUUCAUUUACCCCAAUGUAUGUUAAUAGAAUGUUGUGCCUAUAUAAUACAUACAACUUUCAGCAACGGAUCUCUUGGCUCUC